rnacentral:rRNA from 1 species
ACGCUCGACACCUACGGAGGCAGCAGUGGGGAAUAUUGCGCAAUGGGGGAAACCCUGAUGCAGCGACGCCGCGUGACUGAAGAAGUAUUUCGGUAUGUAAAGGUCUAUCAGCAGGGAAGAAAGAAGACGGUACCUGACUAAGAAGCCCCGGCUAACUACGUACCAGCAGCCGCGGUAAUCUGAGCGGGCUGGCAAGGC